GUAUGACUAAUUUGACUCAGUAUGAUAAGCAACAACCCGAAUGACAGGUAACUAGGAGGGGUAAAUUCCAAACACAGUCUGAAUUAGAAGUGCAACUCAUUUUCCAUAACCCAGACGCUUUUUUAAGCCAUUAAUGCAUUCUCCAUCAGAAACCUGGUGCUGUUCCCAAAGGAGAAAACACUGCCCUCCAGUGGUCUUCACUGGAGAAAUGGAAAUAGUUUCAGGUGGAAACCAGGCUUCUUGGAAGACUUCAAACUAUGCCAAAUGGUCUGAUUUUACCAUAGAGAGUCUUUGCUGAGGAAUGCAGCUGUAUUACAGGAAAAAAGAAAACUAAGCUACAGUCCUUAGCAUUUAACAAGCAUUUUAAAGAUAGUGCAAUUAUGUAGUUAAGCUGCUUAAACACAAGUUCUUGCCUUCCACUCCCACCCUGUGGCUUCCACUGGUAUUACACUUAUUAUGACAUUUAAAAAUCAACAUUAAAGAACAAAUAAUAAU